AGUGAACGCUGGCGGCAGGCCUAAUACAUGCAAGUCGAACGGCAGCACGGCAGAGCUUGCUCUGUGGUGGCGAGUGGCGGACGGGUGAGGAAUACAUGGGAAUCUGCCCAGUCGUGGGGGAUAACGUAGGGAAACUUACGCUAAUACCGCAUGCGCCCUUCGGGGAAAGCCGGGGACCUUCGGGCCUGGCGCGAUUGGAUGAGCCCAUGUCGGAUUAGCUAGUUGGCGGGGUAAUGGCCCACCAAGGCGACGAUCCGUAGCUGGUCUGAGAGGAUGAUCAGCCACACUGGAACUGAGACACGGUCCAGACUCCUACGGGAGGCAGCAGUAGGGAAUAUUGGACAAUGGGCGCAAGCCUGAUCCAGCCAUGCCGCGUGAGUGAAGAAGGCCCUCGGGUUGUAAAGCUCUUUUGUCCGGAAAGAAGAAGCGCCGGGUUAAUACCCUGGUGCCCUGACGUACCGGAAGAAUAAGCACCGGCUAACUUCGUGCCAGCAGCCGCGGUAAU
rnacentral:rRNA from 1 species